rnacentral:misc_RNA from 1 species
AUUAAUACCUUAAAGAUAGUGAUCCAUCACGCCUCAAAGCCUAUUCUCCACCCACUGCCUCAACAUCUACUGCUUAUGUAUGUGGUGAAGACACAGGACUUAUACUAGAAAAGCCAUUUUGCAUGGGUAAAGCCAAGAAAGGAACCAGAAAAAUAGACAUUGAAGAAGAAAAGAAACUGAUACAACUGAAACUAAAUGAACUCCUUUCAGAAAAUGCUUCAGAUAAAGCAAUUACAGAAGUCAUGAAGGAUUUCGGCAUUGAACGGGCAAGGGUGUAUGGGUGGCCAAACACCUAUGUAUUUACAAAGGCAAUGGGAGAGAUGCUUCUAAUGCAUUUGAAAGAGGAUUUGCCCCUUCUUAUAAUACGUCCCACCAUGGUCACAAGUACCUAUAAAGAACCAUUUCCCGGUUGGAUUGAAGGUGUAAGAACCAUUGAUAGCGUAAUUGCGGGCUAUGCCAAAGGGAAAGUUACAUGCUUUGUUUCUAAUCCACAAUCAAACCUAGAUGUGAUACCAGCUGAUAUGGUGGUGA